UUGGAGGCUCUAGGGGAGCGUCUUUCUUUGCCCUUCCAGCUUCUAGAAGCUGCCCAAAUUCUGUGGUUUGGGGCCUCCUUUCAAAACCAGCAAUGGCCAAUCAGUCUUACAUCACUCAAACACUUGAGUGUUCUGUCUCCCUCUUCCAUGUUUGAGGACCCUUGUGAUUACACUGUGAAAACCCAGAUAAGCCAGGAUAAUCUCCCUAUCUUAUUAUGAUGGUAUUCAUUCAGGAGAAGGACCCUACAGAUGGAGGGAAUGCAGGAAAGCUAAGAAGAAUCACACCUCAUUGCAGAUCUGCAUUACCGUUGAAAACAGCAGCCUCAGAACCACAGUAGCCAUGAAAACCAUCAGCCUUCAACCACCACCCUUGUAUCAGAGGAGACAAAUAAGCUUGGAAAUCCUCAAAAAGCCUCAUCCUCAGAGCAAUGUCAUUAUAUAUCUUGUCUUACAGCUCC
rnacentral:sRNA from 1 species